rnacentral:rRNA from 1 species
CGCGCGCAGGCGGCCUUUUAAGUUGGAUGUGAAAGCCUAUGGCUCAACCAUAGAACUGCAUCCAAAACUAUCAGGCUAGAGUGUGGGAGAGGAAGAUGGAAUUAGUUGUGUAGGGGUAAAAUCCGUAGAGAUAACUGGGAAUACCAAAAGCGAAGGCAAUCUUCUGGAACAUUACUGACGCUGAGGCGCGAAAGCGUGGGGAGCAAACAGGUUUAGAUACCCUGGUAGUCCACGCCCUAAACGAUGAAUGGCAGUCGUCGGGUAGCUAGUCUAUUCGGUGAUGCAGCUAACGCAUUAAACAUUCCGCCUGGGGAGUACGGUCGCAAGAUUAAAACUCAAAGGAAUAGACGGGGACCCGCACAAGUGGUGGAGCAUGUGGUUUAAUUCGAAGAUACGCGAAGAACCUUACCUAGCCUUGACAUAUUUUAGAACACUUUAGAGAUAGAGUGGUGCCUUCGGGAGCUAAUAUACAGGUGCUGCACGGCUGUCGUCAGCUCGUGUCGUGAGAUGUUGGGUUAAGUCCCGCAACGAGCGCAACCCUCGUCACUAGUUACUAACGGUUCGGCCGAGGACUCUAGUGAGACUGCCUUCGCAAGGAGGAGGAAGGUGAGGACAACGUCAAGUCAUCAUGGCUCUUACGGCUAGGGCAACACACGUGCUACAAUGGCCUGGACAAUGAGAAGCGAUACCGCGAGGUGGAGCAAAUCUAUAAACCUGGUCUCAGUUCGGAUUGUAGUCUGCAACUCGACUACAUGAAG